rnacentral:lncRNA from 1 species
UCCAUUGUUCACAAGUCACAUGAAACAAAAUUGCCAUUCAUCUCAAACAAUCAACAUCCAUACAUGCAAAUGUCAUCAAAAGGACUUUUCCAAGGCUGGUAAUGAGGUUAGGCUAACAAGAAAGAAUUGGUUUUUCUAGAAUGCAAAAUCCUUGAGUCAAGAGAGCUAUUACAAUAUUCAACAUUUAAGCACAACUCUCCUCCUCGCCAAUCUCUCUCAUUCCCAACUUUUCCCUUUUCUUUUUCUUUUGCAUUGAGCUCUUCUUCAUGCUUUUCUUCUUUUCUUUUCUUUUUCUCAUGAAUUUUUCCUUUUACUACAUUUGAGCUCAAUGCUUUUCACUUGCUUUUUCAAUUUUCCCCCAACAACCCCAAACUUGAACCUUUUCAUCUCAUACAAUUAAACUCAUCCCAACUCAAGGUAAAGCGUUUC